CAGUAGCCACGGUAAUACGUAGGGUGCAAGCGUUAAUCGGAAUUACUGGGCGUAAAGCGUGCGCAGGCGGUUUGUUAAGACAGAUGUGAAAUCCCCGGGCUCGACCUGGGAACUGCAUUUGUGACUGGCAAGCUAGAGUGUGGCAGAGGGGGGUGGAAUUCCGCGUGUAGCAGUGAAAUGCGUAGAUAUGCGGAGGAACACCGAUGGCGAAGGCAGCCCCCUGGGCCAACACUGACGCUCAUGCACGAGAGCGUGGGGAGCAAACAGGAUUAGAUACCCGUGUAGUCCCUGUCUCUUAUAC
rnacentral:rRNA from 1 species